UACGAAGGGUGCAAGCGUUACUCGGAAUUACUGGGCGUAAAGCGUGCGUAGGUGGUUUGUUAAGUCUGCUGUGAAAGCCCCGGGCUCAACCUGGGAAUGGCAGUGGAUACUGGCAAGCUAGAGUGCGGUAGAGGGUAGUGGAAUUCCCGGUGUAGCGGUGAAAUGCGUAGAGAUCGGGAGGAACACCCGUGGCGAAGGCGGCCAUCUGGACCAGCACUGACGCUGAGGCACGAAAGCGUGGGGAGCAAACAGG
rnacentral:rRNA from 1 species